GUGCUAAGCUUAGUGCUCUCUCUCCCACCACCAGUGGCAGAGCCACUGUGUGGGGAGAAACACCUUUUUAUCUUGGAGAGGGGCAGCCUUGUUUCUGAGGACAGAUGGGAGCAAAACGGGACAGGUAGGAAGUUUCGUGGUUUCUCGUGUCGCUUCUCCAAAAUAGCCACACUGCUGCCUCCCACUUCCUGCCUGACUCGGCUGGGGUAGAUUUUCUCCUUUAGAGGAUUUGUGUUCUGUGUAUUCCCAGGGAGGCUCGAAGGGAUCUGUUGCCAAAAACAUGCUUGACACUGAAGCCCUGGAGCUUGGCACUGAGGGCCCCAGCUCAGGUUUGGACCACUGGGUUUGCAUCCGGGCUCUGUCUCAUACUGGCUGCGUGACCUUGGGCAAAUGACUUCACUUCUCUGUGCCUCAUCAGUAGGAUGGAGAUAACAACUCUAGCUAUAUCCAGCAGUUACUCUGCAGAUUAAAUGAAUAUGUGUAAAGGGCACAGCCCAGUGUGGGCACAUAGCAACUCUUAAUGAAUCUCUUAAUAAAAAACAGCAAUGUUGUUGUUGAUCUCCAUCCCCUACCUGGAAAACUGUACCAGCCUCCCAGCCACCUUCCCUUUCCCCUGGCUUGCCUGCUCCAGCACAUCCCAGCAUGAUCCGAGAGUGAUAGAAACGUGAAACACAAAUCUGACCCUGCUAUCUGCUGCUUAAAAUCCACCCAUAGCUUCCAGCGUCUAUGGCAGGAAUGAGCAUUCUUUUGCUCUGAAUGGCCAGAUAGUAUUUGAAGCUUUGCCGGGCAUAUAGUCUCUCUUGACUUUGUCAUUGCAGCCUGGAAGCAACCACAGAUAAUAUGUAAAAAAUGGGCGUGGUUGUGUUCCAGUAAAAUUUUAUGUACGAAAACAGGCAGCCGGCUGGAUUUGCCAACCCUUGACCUACAGGAUGAAUCCAGACCCUUAGCUCAGCAUUCCCAGUUCAGCCUGUUCCCGUUAUCUCCAUCCUUCUUCCUCCCCCACCCCUGCUCUUGUGCAGAACAUGUCACACUUUAAUCCUUUGCGUGUGCUGCUCCCUCUUUCUGAGUUUUCCUUCCCUGCCCCCUGAGUGCCCCUUCCCCAUGGCAUUAGGACCUUUACUCUGGGAUUCUGUGGUACCCUGUCUUUAUUUCUACCCUGGUCAUAUAUGCAAGUUCCAUCUGUCUCUCCAUGAGAGGGGCUCCCCUCUAGGCAGGGAUUCGGCCUUCCUCUUCUGUACACCCAGCAGGGUGCUGCUGUAUAGGUUUCUGCAGGUGCUCAGUAAGCAUUUGUUAUUGAACCCAAGGAUCUGCAAGAUGGAUGGUUGGCCUCAGGGAGCUCACAGUCAGCUUAGAAAGCUAGGAUAUGAGCCAGUCAAAAGCCAGCCAGCAAUCCAGGCAGGAAAUGAUGAUGGUCUGUGUGUUUGGCCCUAACUGAUGUCAAGUGGAGAUUCUGAGCUUGAUAGAGGAAGGUGAAGGCAUUUGAGUUGGAUGUUGCAGGGUGGGAAAGAGACUUGCAGAGAUAGGGAGGUCAGGAAGUCUUUCCAAGUUGGGGAAGUCAUAAGAGAAGAGCAGGGCUGACCAGGCCUGGGGGCUUAGGCCUGUAAUCCCAGCUACUUGGGAGGCUGAGGCAGGAGGAUCACCUGAGCCGGAGAGUUUGAGACUAGAAUGGGCAAGGUAGUGAGACCUCAUCUCAAAAACUAGAAAAAUAAAAAAUUUAGCCAGAUGUGGUGGUCAUACUCCUGUAGUCCUAAAUAUUGAGACUGAAGCGGGUGGAUGGCUUGAGCCCAGGAGACGGAGGCUGCAGUGAGCUGUGAUUAUACCACUGCACUGCAGCCUGAGGGACACAGCAAGACCCUGUCUCGAAAAACAAAACAAAACAAAAGAAGAAGAAGAGCAGGCUCAUUGCUGAGCUCAGGGUGGGGAGUGGACAGAGCAGUCUGGCCACGGCUGCAGGCCCUCCCUUGGGAGACAGAGGGGGCCAAUGCUGGAAAGCAGGGCGAAGUUUUCAUCAAUGAGUUGGGGGUGGUGAGGAAGCUUAGACUUUAUCCUGUGAGCCAGAAUUUCUCCAUGUGUGUCCACAUACCCUCCCAUAACAGAAUUACCUUGAGUUUCUUUAAAAUGCAGAUUCCAGGGCUCUGUCCCAUACUGGGGGCCAGGAGGCUGAAGGGGGUCAAGGCCGUGGUCUGUGGGAGGAAGAGGCUGCACCAUGGCUAUGGGUGCACCACAAGUAUUAUUCAGACUGGUGUCACCUGUAGGAAGCCGGGUGAUGCCUUUCCCAGCUGGACUGGGGACAGGUGAGGCGGGAAUGAAUAAUCCUCCCAAAGGGCAAUUGGGAACACCCAAGCUCAAACGUGGCAAGUGACUUGCCCAGGGUCACACUGUCAAUUACUUGCAGGUGUGGGGCUGACCAGUUAUGGAACAGGCUUCCUCUCCCAAUCUCAGGGCCUCGGGUGGUCCUCGAGGUGCCGCAGGUGGAAGAAGAACAGGCCAAGGCAAAUGCCUCCGGUACCCAGCACUGCCUGGUGCACAGUAGUGGUUGAUCAGUAAUUGUUGAACCAAUCAGGGUUUCUGUUUGCUUGAAGGAAAGGGUAGGAGUGGAGGGUGAGUGACUGGGUGAAUGGGUGCUAUGAGGACAAAGGAGAGUGGAGUUUAGAGGUAGCACUAGUGUCGCAAGCCUGAAGGUUUACCAGAGACAGAGGGGUGAAAAGAUGAGUGGGGCACUAAGCAUAUUGAAUGUGAGAGCUGCUGGAAAUGCAGGAUUGGGGCGUGCUGGGUGGGGCAGGUGAUGUGUGCAGCUGUGGAAGCUGCUACCAAGUCAAGGGCUCUUUUGUAAAAGAAGACACUGAACUAAAAGAUGCUUAGAAGCCUGUCCAGUUCCAAAGCCAUUGGCAUCUUCUCUAAUUAAAGAGUGAACUCCAGUUUCUUAUGAUGUGGGAGUAGAAUUUGGCUGGUCUUUAAUAUCUCACAAAGGGUCUCUUUCUCAGGAAGGCAUGUGUGUGAUUUGGGAGAGGUGAAGAUGAGAAGUCUGAAUCCUACCUACUUGGUUCUCUCCCGUGCAUCAUGGAUGUCAGGAAACACUGUUGAUAUCUCCUGUGCACUGUCAAUGUCCCUCUCUGUGUGUCUUUGAAUGGGGAGCAAGGGGCAUAAGCCAGAUCACCCCAGGCGGUGCCGCACUUUAAGAGGUAUCUGGACCAGCCCUCAGGAGCAUGCAGCCCUUGUCAGAGGAACUUUUGAAGAAACUGGGUAACAGAAUACUUGAGAGACAGACUUGCUGUCCUCAACCACCCCAGGGGUUGUCUGGAGAAAAAGGGUCAGAGAUGUUCUGUGUGGUCCUCGGGACAGAAUCAAAACCAAAAUCUCAAAGUACAUCCUACCCUGCCUUUAACUGAACGGGAUAGUCUGCUGUUUGCAAAAAUAUACAUGCCAAGACACGUCCUUUGUGCAGGUGGGGAACAAAGAUGUUGGCUGGGGGCUUAAUUCUACAGCACUGCCCAUUGCCCUGCUGUGGCAUUCAUCAGUGGAGCCCACAUGGUUCCACUUGGGGUGCUCUAAGUUUCCUCCUAGACCCAUGGGUUUGUAUGAGCCAUGCCAACCAUGACACCAUGACCUGUCUGAAAUGGACUCCACCUUGGUCAGAAUGGAACCAUCUAAGCCCUUGGGACUUGCACCCUCUGUUGAGCUUUGAGAUCAUCUCAGAAAUGGUACUCUCCCUGCAGACUCAGAGCCUUUAGACUCAGGGCUGGUGGCCCUUGACACGCCUCUCUCACCACCAGAUAAUUAUAUUUUCAGGCAGCUGUUCCUUGGGGAGGAAUAUUGAGUGCCGUCCCAUGUGCUAUCUGUUUCUGACCAUUCUGAUUCUGCUGCUGACCUCAGACUGCCCAUGUUGUGGCUACCUCUCCCAUCUGAGUCCCUGCACUGCCCAGUCACAGACAUCUGCUGCCGGACGCCACACUGCCCUGAUGGCUCAGAGCGGCCAGCUCCAACCUGCGUGAUCUCACAGGCAUUGUGGCCUGGGCGUCAGGGUGCUGUGAGAAACACCAGGAAACACUGAUAUUUUUAGUGCAAAUGAUGAAAAACGUUAUGCUAAGUGAAAGAAGCCAGACACAAAAGGACAUAUGGCGGGUGAUUCCAUUUUUAUGAAAUGUCCAGAUAAGGCAAAUUUAUAGAGAUGGAAACUAGAUGAAUUAGUGGCUGCCAGGGGCUGGAGGGAAGGGAAUGUGGAGUGAUUGCUAAUGGGUACAGGAUUUCUUUUCAGAGUGAUACAUGUGUUCUGGAAUUACAUCAUUGGGAUGGUUGCACAACCCUGUGAAUUUUAUGGUCCCUUGGAGCUUCCUUGGGCGCUUCCUGGAAGGAGGUGCUGCAUUCACCCUGCCAGGGCCAGGUUGGGACAAUGAGAGGCAGAGACUGCCCCAUUUCUGUGUGGCAAACAAGAAACAUGGUUUAUCGGUUCUUCUGAGGCUUCAGUUGUACCUCAGACCCUAAAGGGCCCAGCUCUGCCCAUCUCUUCCAUGCAAAGAUGAAGGGAGGGGACAGGGGCUGGCACUGUGGUACCCUGAAGGAGGCACUUAGGACGGUGAUGAUUCUAGGCCCUGAUGAAUUCAUUUUUUAAGCCAGCAAACCCUCCUGGUCCCCUGAGUUCAGGAUACCGUAUUUGUCCAAGCAAAGGAUAGCUCAGGAAUACAGAAAUGAGUCUGAUCCUAGGCAGGACUCAGGGAACACCAUGAAUCCUUGAGAACCAUGGGACGGAGAAUCAGAGUCCUGAGCUGUGGAUCCAGCCCAGCCACUUUCCACCUCUCUGAACCUCUGUUUCCUCAUCUGCAAAACGAAGUGAUAAGCCCCUUCCCAGAGGGCUGUUUUGAGGAAAUUCUUAGUUAUGAAGUAUGUUAGACAUUGUGUUUGCAGUCUUAGGGGGCAGUUGGAGCCAUGAACAGGAGGUCUGCAAGGAGGAACUUGGGUGAAAUUAAAUGAGACAGUGGCUACAGGGGCCUUUGGUGAGCUGUAGUCACUGCACUAACGUAAGGCGGCAUUGUUGGGAUUAUGAUCCAUCUGAAACAGGGGUGUAAACACCGGCCAGGGGAAGGCAGAAUGGGUUCUGUCUGAGAUGGAAAGAGGUCCCAGGGAGAAACUGGCAGUGGUGACAAGAAGGAUUUGGCUGAACAAAGAAGGGAAGAUGGGGGACCGGGCAGCAGGCCAAGGGAGGGGCUUGAACCCUGGCAGGAGGCAGAAAGGGUGAGAGGAGCUGGGGCACAGUGUGGGAUUUUCAGAGUUCACCUGGUUGAAUGGAAGAAAGCCUGUAUGAACUGCAAGAGCUUAUUUUUUGGAAAUGCAGCCCCACGAAAUCAUACUUGACAACAUCGUCUUGUUCAGGGAGCACAGAGUGGGAGCUUGGGGGGUCUCAGGGCAAGUUUAAGAAGGCUGAGGAUGAUGACUGCUCCCCUCAGGCACACAAACAGUACAUUCCCUGAGUGCUUUUGAGAGCUCAGAUGUUGUCAAAAAAGGAAGAUCUGGAGGUCAGAUCAGGACCUAGAGUGCGAAUGCCUCACAAGAAAUUGCGCUCGGAAUUCAGGAACCUUUCCAUGACUGCCACCCUCACAUUCAAGACUGAACUGGUCAGAGAAAUAGACGAGACACCUCACGGGAAGCCCUAUGUAGUUAGUAUUCCACUUAUAUCUUUUUUCUCUUCUUCUGUAGUGAUGGAAAUUUUAGCAGGGCACACAGCCACUCAGCUAAACACUACACUGCCUCACCCUCCUAGCAGCUAGGAGUGGCCAUGGGCUCGUGUGAGCUGAAAUGACAAGUGCAACUCCCAGCUCUGCCCUCCCCUUUAUCGUUCCCACUGAGUAGGGUGUGGAUGUGAUGGUGGGAGAUGGAAGUCAUGUGCUGUGGAUAUCAGAAGACCAAGAUCAAAGAUGUCCACACGGUGAAGCCACCAUAUCAGCCAUGGCCACUUAAACUCAGAUUGCACAUAAGACAGAAAUAAACUGUCUCGUCUAAGCCACUCCUGCAGUUAGGUCCUUGUUAUAGGAGCUAGAACCUGUAUCCUAAUACAUAUCCUAACUUUACAACAUAAUCCCUCAUUCAUAAAUAUAUUGGAUAACCAAAAUCACCAAACAUUGGAAGCAAACCAAUAGAAUGAAAGAGAAGGCCUAAAAUGGAAAAAAGAAAAAAAAAAGGAAGAGCUUAUUUCAAAGGAAACAGUUUGAAUAUAAGAAAGCCCAAAACUAAAUUAUCAGUAGUAUCCUUAACAGUAAGUAAGAGGUUCUUUCAUUCACCUCUGUAAGUGAAAUAACCUAUAAUAUCAGAGGAGCAGGUUGCUAUGAAGAUAGCACAAUUGGAGGAAAGGAAAUACUUGCUGAAAUUGUAAAAUAUCAUUAUGGAAAAAACUUCAGUGGAAAAACUGAAUAACACAAUGGAUAUGCAUGAAGACCAGAUUGGUCAUUUCAAUGUUAAAACCAAGAAAACCUCCCAGAAAGCAGAGCAAAGUCUCAAGAAGAAAACAUUAAGACCCAUGGAGGAUAGAUCCAGAGGUUCAGUAUCCAUCAACUAGGAGAUCUAGAACUAGAAGCCACAGACAGUCAGGGGGUGGGUAGAAAUAGUGAAAGAUAUAGCCAAAGAAAUUUCCUCUCAGUUGAGAAAUACACACGGCCAGGCUUGGUGGCUCACACCUAUAAUCCAGCACUUUGAGAGGCUGAGGUGGGAGGAUUGCCUAAGCCCAGGAGUUCAAGACCACACUGAGCAAUAUGGUGAGACCCCAUUUCAAUUUAAAAAUAAAAAUAAAAAAAAAAGAAACACACACAGAUUUUAAACUAGAAAGAUCAUACUGACUUUAGGGCAGGAAUUAGUAAAAUGAGCAUGCAGACCCAUCUUGGUGAAAUUUCAGAACAUCAAGGAUAAAAAACAAAAAACUUCCAGAGAGACUCAAAAAUUACCUCAGAAUUUCUCACCAGUCAUGCAAGAUGCUCCAGUACAGUGGAGUACUUUCACAAUUCUGGAGGAUAAACUAAGAGUCAUCCUGUCAAACUUUGAAAAAAAUAGUUUUUUAAAUGUGUAAGAUUCAGAAAGUUUGUCACUCA
rnacentral:lncRNA from 1 species